AGUAAUACAUGAGGAGUUUAUAAAAGGCAAUAGUGAAUAAUGAUAAAAGUAUUUCUACAAUACCGACGUAGAUAUGGAGAAAAAGUGACAUUUGCAAUUCGUUGUUCAUUGGCGCUGUUGUGCGUGAGUAACGUUUCUCGCAUGCUACUCGGUGUUCCAUUGUCAUAACGGAUGAAAUGAAUAUUUAUCUAUGGAAAGGUCAUUUCAGUUUGCUCGAGAAAUUACAAGUAUUUUUUAUAUGGUUUAAGAAAAACUGUUAAAUUUUAUUAGCGAUUAAUUUAAUAUAAAUAACGAAUGAAUACAAAUAAUAUCGAAUUUGUAAUUAUUAAAACUGUAUGUCUUGACGAAUAAAAUUUUAAGUAAUAUUAGAAAAACAAUGUAUAAUAGAAGGUAACAACUGAGGAAGAUUAAACUAUGGCCAACAGAAAAGAUAAAUCAUCUACAGGUUUUCUGGACACAUGGUUCGGCCGACCAAAAAAAUCCGGGCGUGGAGGUGGGGUCAGAAGUGGUUUAGGAAACAAUACUAUACCACGACCUCAUUCCGGUGAUGAUUUCAAUGAGAUUGAGCAACAACGAUGUAUUAUUGAAAGAAUGGAUAAAGAGACAGUAAAUGACAAAUUUGAGGAAAUGUUGGCUAAUAUGAAUUUAACCGAAGAAAAAAAAGAACCAUUACGACAACAAUCGGAAGCGAAAAAAAGAGAGAUGUUGGUUUUGCAUUAUAAAGGUAGCAUUCAAGAGAAUAAAUCAAAAUUUGAUAAACCUGCGGAUUAUAUUCAGUAUUUGGCACAACCUGAUUUAAGUGUCAACAAAAUCUACAAUUGCAUUGAAUCAUUAAGAAUAGCAUUGACAAACAAUCCUUUAAGUUGGGUUCAGGAAUUUGGUACGAAAGGAUUGAAACAGGUUUUAGCGACGCUCAACGAGUGCUAUCGAAAUGCCUUCAUAUAUUAUAAUAGUGACAAUCGAUAUGAACGUAUACAGUACGAAUGCAUUCGAUGUUUGAAGGCUAUUAUGAAUAAUACUGUUGGUAUAAAGGAGAUGUUGGCUCAUCAGGAAGCACUCACGAUCGUAGCUAGAUCAUUGGAGCCGACAAAACCAUCCGUUAUGUCAGAAGCUGUAAAACUGCUUGGUGCAGUUUGCCUCAUUUCAAGCGAUAGUCAUAAAAAAGUUUUGGAUGCGAUUACUAUGAAUGGAGAAUUUAAGGGAAGAGAAAGAUUUUUACCUAUUGUGCAGGGUCUAAUGAAUAAGAAAAAUGAAAAUCUAAGAGUGGAGUGCCUUCAACUUAUCAAUUCUAUCAUUUCUUCGGCCGAAGAAUUAGAUUUUAGAUUGCAUUUACGAAAUGAAAUCAUGCGAGUCGGUUUAGCCGAUAUUUUAGAAACAUUGGAAAAAAAUGAAUCUGAAGAUUUAGCUAGACACUUGAAAAUUUUCAAUGAUCACAAAGAGGAAGAUUAUGAAGAAUUUGUACAAAGAUUUGAUCACGUACGAUUGGAAUUGGAUGAUGUAAAUGAUUGUUUUGAAGUAAUUAAAAAUAUGGUAAUGGAAACGUCUGCUGAACCAUACUUUUUAUCAAUACUUCAACAUCUUUUAUUCGUCAGAGACGAUGCUUUAGUCAGACCGGCCUAUUAUAAACUGAUAGAAGAAUGUGUAUCACAAAUUGUGUUGCACCGUUCAGGCUGUGAUCCAGAUUUUAGUGCAACUAAGCGCUUUCAAAUUGAUGUCCAACCAUUGAUUGAUACAUUGGUUGAAAAAUCGCGAGUGGAAGAAGAAAGGCGAUUAGUUGAAGUAUUGCAAAAAUUAGAAGAAGCUAUAGCUAGUAAACAAGAAGCAGAAGCGAAACUUCAACAUGCAGAAAAUAAAAUUAAAGAAUUGGAGCAAGGAGGAAUAAAAUCAACUAACGGUAAUGCGAAAAUUGGUUCAGUCCUAUCGGGUUUGGCUGGAAUUGGUAAUCUUCCACCUCCACCACCUCCGCUUCCAAAUGCGAGUGGAUCAGCAAUAAUAAUAGCACCGCCACCUCCGCCGCCACCACCUUUACCGGGUUCUGGUGGUCUGUGUCCGCCUCCACCACCACUUCCUGGAUUAGGAGGACCACCACCACCACCUAUGCCUGGUACACUAACAGGUCCUAAACCUCCACCAAUGCCACAAUCAGGUCUACCGCCAAUGAUGGCUGGGAUUAAUUCCGCCAUUAAUACGUCACAAUCACUUCCAUUAGGAUUGAAGCCAAAAAAAAAAUGGGAAGUCGAUGCACCAUUGAAAAGAGCAAAUUGGAAAGCAAUUAUGCCACAUAAACUCACUGAAAAAUCAUUUUGGAUAAAAGUACAAGAGGAUAAGUUGGCCAGUCCUGAAAUACUAAAUGGUUUAAGCCUAAAGUUUGCAUCAAAACCAAGUGGGAAGAAAAUUGAUGACGUUGUCGAUAAAUCAGCUCCAUCAAAAAAAGUGAAAGAUUUAAAAGUCCUUGAUGGAAAAGCUGCUCAAAAUAUUCUUAUACUUCUUAAUGGUACUUUAAAGCAUAUGUCAUAUGAAGAGGUAAAGUCUUGUUUACUCAAAUGUGAAGGACCCGUUAUUUCGGAUAAUAUACUUCAAGGACUAAUACAGUAUUUACCGCCACCCGAUCAAUUAAAAAAACUUCAUUUUUAUAAAGAUCAAUACGAUGAUUUAACAGAAGCUGAACAGUUUUGUAUUACUAUAUCGACAAUCAAGAGAUUGUUGCCGAGAUUGAGAUCAUUAAGUUUCAUGCUGCGAUAUGAAGAAUUAGUGCAAGAUGUAAAACCGGAUAUAGUGGCAGGCACAGCAGCUUGUGAGGAAGUAAAGAAUAGUAAAAAAUUUGCCAGAAUUCUGGAAUUGAUCCUAUUGCUUGGCAAUUAUAUGAAUUCUGGUUCAAAGAAUGGUCAAGCAUUUGGAUUUGAAAUUAGUUUUCUUACUAAGUUAACUAGCACCAAGGACAUUGAUAACAAACAGACUUUAAUGCAUUAUUUAGUAGACACAAUAGAACAAAAGUUCUCAGAGUGUCUCAGUUUUACAGAAGAACUGGCACACGUAGAUAGAGCAAGUCGAGUUUCUUUAGAAAAUGUACAAAGAACUUUGCGACAAAUGGAUUCUAGUAUUCGAAAUCUCGAACAAGAUUUAUCGAAUGCCAAAAUACCACAAUCCGAUGAAGAUAUGUUUUUACAUAUCAUGGGUCCUUUUGCAAAAAAAGCCCGUGAAUCUUACGAAGUUCUUCAAAAUAUGUUUAAAAAUAUGGACAGCUUAUACACAGAAAUUUCCGAAUUUUUUUCUUUUGAUAAACAGAAAUAUACAAUAGAAGAAUUUUUUGGUGAUAUAAAAACAUUUAAAGAUGAUUUUAUGCAAGCUCAAAAAGAAAUAAUAAAAAUGAGAGAAACAGAAGAAAAACAAAGAAGAGCGAGAGAAGCGCGAGAAAAAGCAGAAGCAGAGAAAGCAGCUCGAGUAGCAAGGAAAAUAGCACUUGUCGAUAUGAAUGCACAUGAAACUCAGGAAGGUGUUAUGGAUAGCUUAAUGGAAGCUCUUCAAACUGGUUCCGCAUUUAGUCGACCAGAUCAACGUCGGAAACGUCAAACACGCGCUGCUGGUGCAGAAAGAAGAGCUCAACUUAAUAGAAGUCGAUCGCGUACCGGAUUAGUUGGAACUGGUUUGCUAGGAAGAGAACUUUCAACGGUUCCGAUCCUAGAGUGGCUACAUGUCGAGGAAAACUACAGAACAAACGAAGCAAAUUGAAUCAAGAGAUUAAUAAAGAGCUUCGAUUGCGAGCCGGCGCAGAAAAUCUUUUUAAAGCAACAACAAAUAGGAAAUUGAGAGAAACUGUUGCGUUGGAAUUGAGUUUCGUUAAUUCAAACUUGCAAUUACUAAAGGAACAACUUGCCGAAUUAAACAGUUCAGUUGAAUUGUAUCAAAAUGGUGAUAGCGAAGAACCGGCAAUGCCAAUGAUACCAUUAGGUCUGAAAGAAACCAAAGAUAUAGACUUUCAGGAUCCAUUCAAGGAUUUCAUUCUCGAACAUUAUAGCGAAGAUGGAGUAAAUUAUGAAGAGG
rnacentral:misc_RNA from 1 species